AUAUCAUAGUACAUUUCCCAGAAAGUGCUUUCAAUAGAACAAUGGAUGUGAUUAGUCUGCACGAUGAUGCUACACCAGUAUGUCUGCCGCUGCAUUCACACAGGGUACCAGUUGAGCCUCAAAUCCCGAACUCAAAAAUGAACAGAGUGAAUCCGAGUGCAUCCCAGGCUGCACAAAAUAGUUUAGCUCUAUAAUUUUCUCUGUUAUUAUAUAUUAUUGUUUUUUUGUCUAUUAUUUAUAAAUAAAUAAAUUACUGUA